rnacentral:rRNA from 1 species
GACAGAGGGGGCGAGCGUUAUCCGGAAUUAUUGGGCGUAAAGCGUCCGUAGGUGGUUUGGCAAGUCUGGGGUUAAAGCCCGGAGCCUAACUCCGGAUCGGCCCUGGAAACUGCCGGACUAGAGUAAGGUAGGGGUUGCGGGAAUUCCCGGUGUAGCGGUGAAGUGCGUAGAUAUCGGGAAGAACACCAGUGGCGAAAGCGCGCAACUGGGCCAUUACUGACACUGAGGGACGAAAGCUAGGGGAGCGAAUGGG